rnacentral:ribozyme from 1 species
AAACAAACAAAGAAACAAAGAAACAAAGAAACAAACAAAUAAACAGGAAUCCGCAUAAUGCCAUGGUUUAGUGCAGUUUUUUAAGUUUUUAUUUUAUUUUAUAUUACACCUCCUCCAGAGAUCGAAAAUAAUAAUAAAAC